rnacentral:rRNA from 1 species
AGUGAACGCUGGCGGUAGGCCUAACACAUGCAAGUCGAACGGCAGCACAGUAAGAGCUUGCUCUUACGGGUGGCGAGUGGCGGACGGGUGAGGAAUACAUCGGAAUCUACUUUUUCGUGGGGGAUAACGUAGGGAAACUUACGCUAAUACCGCAUACGACCUACGGGUGAAAGCAGGGGAUCUUCGGACCUUGCGCGAUUGAAUGAGCCGAUGUCGGAUUAGCUAGUUGGCGGGGUAAAGGCCCACCAAGGCGACGAUCCGUAGCUGGUCUGAGAGGAUGAUCAGCCACACUGGAACUGAGACACGGUCCAGACUCCUACGGGAGGCAGCAGUGGGGAAUGUUGGACAAUGGGCGCAAGCCUGAUCCAGCCAUACCGCGUGGGUGAAGAAGGCCUUCGGGUUGUAAAGACCUUUUGUUGGGAAAGAAAAGCAGCAGGUUAAUACCCCGCUGUUCUGACGGUACCCAAAGAAUAAGCGCCGGCUAACUUCGUG